AUUGAACGCUGGCGGAAUGCUUUACACAUGCAAGUCGAGCGGCAGCGCGGGGGCAACCCUGGCGGCGAGCGGCGAACGGGUGAGUAAUACAUCGGAACGUGUCCUUAAGUGGGGGAGUAGCUCGGCGAAAGCCGGAUUAAUACCGCAUAAGCUCUGAGGAGGAAAGCGGGGGCUCCGUAAGGACCUCGCGCUGUUGGAGCGGCCGAUGUCGGAUUAGCUAGUUGGUGGGGUAAAGGCCCACCCAAGGCGACGAUCCGUAGCUGGUCUGAGAGGAUGAUCAGCCACACUGGGACUGAGACACGGCCCAGACUCCUACGGGAGGCAGCAGUGGGGAAUUUUGGACAAUGGGGGCGAACCCUGAUCCAGCCAUGCCGCGUGCGGGAAGAAGCCU
rnacentral:rRNA from 1 species